rnacentral:tRNA from 2 species
AGGUGUGGCUCAGUUUGGUAGAGCGCUGCGUUCGGGACGCAGAGGUCGCAGGUUCGAAUCCUGUCACCU